GUUUUUCUAAUUUUAAUUUUCUUCUCUACUACUUCUGCUUUGAUUUGCAUUUAGUUUGUUUACAGAUAAUAAGUUAUUCCCCAGCGAGUGUUUGGUUUUAUGGUCAGACUAUUCAAUGAUCUCUGUAAAUGAAUUUAUAGAGAUUUUGUCUCUGUUGGGUGAGAGAGUGUACAGAGUUGGCUAGUCUCUUCUGUUUAUUUGUCUAUUUAAAUCAAAUAACUGAAGAAUUCUUACCCACUGGGAAGAGACAAGCUCUUUGAUACAGACUGCUGGUAUACGGAUAUGUACCCUAACUUCUACUAAUGUGAUGUUCCUGCCUGAGAUUUAAGCGCUGCACAUUAAAAGGAAGAAAACAGACUGGAUCCAUGUUGGUGAAGGUGGAACUAAGGUGAUGGAGCUGAGUGGACAGCUGAGCAUUCUUAAUGCUACCGCCUUGUGUAAGACCCA
rnacentral:lncRNA from 1 species